UACGAAGGGGGCUAGCGUUGCUCGGAAUCACUGGGCGUAAAGCGCACGUAGGCGGCUUGUUAAGUCAGGGGUGAAAUCCUGGAGCUCAACUCCAGAACUGCCUUUGAUACUGGCGAGCUUGAGUCCGGGAGAGGUGAGUGGAACUGCGAGUGUAGAGGUGAAAUUCGUAGAUAUUCGCAAGAACACCAGUGGCGAAGGCGGCUCACUGGCCCGAUACUGACGCUGAGGCGCGAAAGCGUGGGGAGCAAACAGGG
rnacentral:rRNA from 1 species